UACGUAGGGGGCAAGCGUUGUCCGGAAUCAUUGGGCGUAAAGAGCGUGUAGGCGGUCCGGUAAGUCGGCUGUGAAAGUCCAGGGCUCAACCCUGGGAUGCCGGUCGAUACUGCCGGACUAGAGUUCGGAAGAGGCGAGUGGAAUUCCCGGUGUAGCGGUGAAAUGCGCAGAUAUCGGGAGGAACACCUAUGGCGAAGGCAGCUCGCUGGGACGUUACUGACGCUGAGGCACGAAGGUCAGGGGAGCAAACGGG
rnacentral:rRNA from 1 species